GUACCGCUCCACAAGUUCAUAUGUAAAUGCCCGUCCAUAAAAAUAAAUUCCCCAUCCGCGCAUCCACCUAAUUAAACGCCGGGCUGCCAAUCGAUUCCGAAUGGCAAAAAUACCUCCCAUCGGAAAAUUGAAAGGAGUGUUUAUCCUCUCCGGUUUCCCGUCGGCCGGCACCAGCAAUGGUUCCCGCUGGUGCUGGUAGGUACUGAUACUUCGGCUGGUAUGGGUAAUAAAACAACCGAUUGGAUUGAUUCUGUCUCGUUGCGCCGGCCACCACCAUACAAGCGAAUGGACGUGAGCGAGAUACCGCGCGCUUAUUUACUUCUCUCUGCAUUGAUAAGAAAAUAGGGAAUGAGCUCACCACCGUUGGCGCGUGUUGGUGCCAUCGAGAGAGAAUCUCUCCCGCGCUCGCAAGAACCGAAGCGCUCCGCUGAUGUAGUGCGCAUGUAUUGGUACACGAAUCCACUCCCGAUUCGAUUUCGAUUGUACACUUUUUUACCUCUCCUUCGCGUCGGUCGAUUCGCGCUGCUGUCUCGGGAGUGCUGCACAGCAGUGCGAGAGGAGCGAAGAGAUAAAAUUGAUUGCUGCGCUCUUGGGUCGGACCGGCAUCGUCGUCCGAUAGGUUAAUUGCCAUCGGGUGGUGUGUAGUGGUGCGAUUAAUAAAAGUAGCGAGAGAGUGAGACGGUACGAAUUGAGCGUGAGAGGAAAAGAGACCGCUAGUCUGAUUACAUAGCAAUAUCGGAGCAGGGUUGUGUAUUGCCGUUUUUUUUGCUUCGUUUUGUGCUCCGGGUCGGGUGAAUCGGAGGGAAAUCUGUCUCUCUCGCUAAAUUGUUUUCUAUUUAAUUUUAGUUUAUCUUUGACGUUUGAAUCGAAAGAGACGGACGGUCGAUAGAGCGUCGUCGGUGCACGAUCGUUCGAUUGUUUUUUUUUCGAUCGCGGCCUACAAGCUUUUAUCGUGGUUUAUUAGUGAUUCGAGUGCGUGUUUUGUUUCCGGUGAGUGAGAUUCAAAUCAGUCAAUGAUACUGAGCAAUCGUAAUUGAUUUUCGCGAGUGAAUGCAAUGCGCAACAGUGAUUAGAAAUCAGCAAACGUUAUCGAUUGAGUGAAAAUGCUUAUCCCUGAAAUAAAUGAAUGAGAAGAAAUCGAGGAUUUCAUACAGUGCAACUAAAUUAAAUCAUUCCUCGAAGAAAAGUGCAUGAAAACAUCGUAACUUCUGUGAAGUGAAUUUAUUAGCAAUUUUUUGCCUGUUUUCGAUCGUCGUGGUCCAAGAACUGCCGCACUCUGGACGCCUACCUGGAGCAAUUCCCCCACCACCACCACCAUCAUCAGCAGCCGCAGCCGCACCAACAUCAGCAGCAGGACAAAAUGCUACCCGUGGACAACCAGCUCAGUGAGGUACGUGUAUGAUGCGAACUGUCCCAACCUAACCCUAUAUCAGCGCGUAAUAAUAAUCGGUGAAUUCAACCAGUUAAGACAAUCCGACACUUCUUGUAUGGAAUAAGCCAAGUAUUGAAUAUAUUAUCAAUAAAUUCCAGUAUCAUCACCGGUUGGGGUCCAUUUGAUUUCUGUUAAAAAUCCAACUGAAUCUCAAAGGUUACUUGCGCGAUAAUCACGGAAAGAAUUUCUGGUGAAACCCACUGCAUGGCUCCGGACCAUUUGAUCCAUUAAAAAAAGAAAAAAGGAAAAAAAAGACAAAUACACCGUCUUCGACCUUGCCGCCUCUACAGACUGAACAUUACUAACAUUAGACAACGGACAGCACAUAUAACACCCAGUAGCCCAGUGGAGAAUUUUCCGUUUGACGAAAAGUUUUCCCCGACUGGAGCGGGAAUCGAACCCACACUUCGAGGCUUACGAGACGCCCAACCACUGACGCCGCUAAUCGCUCGACCACGAAGCCCAUUUUCCGAAAGGGUGAUUUGGCCGAAUGCCGUCUGGCCGAAAAAUGAAUGAUGAACUUAAGGCAAAACUGGAUCCAUUUCCUCAUUUCUUGGUUUUUGUUUUUUUUUAUAAAAUAACGAAGCAAUAUUUUCAAUAUCGGUUUUCGUACACAUGUAGGGUAUGGAUCGAGGUAUCUCCUGAUUUUUUUCCAGGUGGAAAAUGUUUUUCGUUUUUACAGAAACCAGUUUUAAACAAAAUUUCACAAAAUUUUCAGAAUUAGAGUAAAACUGCUGGAAUCCCUUGUCCUUAGUUAAACCAUACAAGUUUCAUUAUGGGGCGAGACCGUUUAACGCAUUAUAGAAUGACUGAGAUUGUGUAUAUAUUUGCCGACUUCAGAAUUCGCGGAGAAUUCUCUGAAAACUUUUCAAAAAAUUCUGAUCUGAUUUGAUUUGAUAUCAGAUUUCUAAAAACCAUUUUUCUUGAAAUUUUGUUGCAAAAUGGUUUCUGUAAAACUAAAAACAUUUUCAACUAUGAAAACCAAAAUCACAAGAUACCAUGACACCUUGAUCCUGCCUCUUAAUGUGUAUGGAUAUCGAUUUUGAAAAUAUUGCUCUGUUGUUGAAUGAAAAAUUAAAAAGCUUCAAAUAGGGAAUUGCAUCCAGUUUCGCCUUAAUCUUAAAAUGGCGAAAAUGGCGCAAAUUGAUGAAUUUCAAUUAUGGUUCUUUUAAUAAAACAUUCUUCACGAUCUCCAUAAAGAUUUCAACAGAAAUUACUUAUUACUAGGAUCACAAAAACUUGAUUACAAACUUGUAGAGGUUCGACUGGUUAACUUCUUUCUCGGGAGAUUUCGGCUGUCAGUUAAACAAAUGUGGCAAUUUUCUUAUUUCAUUACUAACCUUCGGUACACUCCAGCAAUAAGUUUCUCACGAUCUAUGAAAAUGCUCUAAUUUUUUGCAUAACAAUAAUCGAUUGACCCCGGCGUAAAUUUUUAUUAAAUGAUAUUUCCCACGUAAAACUAUAUCAUUCUUAGUAUUUUUUUUUUAUUGGGAUGUCCUGGAAUUACACUUAUAUAUUUUAUUAUAAAGAUAACAAUUUUCAUCAUUUUUUUUUAUUUCUCCUACGGAGAAUGAACACAUCUUAUAUCAUAUUAAGCAAACAUUUUCUGUGAGAUUUGCGAUGGCAUUUCAU